AUGCAUAUCAAUAGGUUAAUAUAUAUUUAUAAACAAAUAACUCUUAGCUGUUUAUUCCUGCAGGAUCCCAGGGCUAAUAAAAGUUCUACUUCCAGUGCUAGAUCAAAAUCUGAUUCAGCAUGUAGUUAUCAUAACGCUAUCAACUACCAGAAUUUGCUGAGCAUUCAUCCUGCACCCAAAGUUCCUCAAUUUUGGAUUGAAACUCCCUUUCCUUCUCCAAAGGUAAAGAAACUGAUUUUUUCAAGGCAAACUCUUUUGACUUUAUCUGGUCUUGCCAUAAACGAAUCAUUUAAUUAG